rnacentral:rRNA from 1 species
GGGGGGGGGGGGGGGGGGGCGGGGGGGGUGCGGGGCGGGCGGGGGGACGGGGAGGGGGUGCGGUUGCGGGUGGCGGGUGGCGGAGGGGUGAGGAGUGCAUGGGAGUCUGCUUUGUCUGGGGGGAUGACGUAGGGCAGCGUACACUAAUAGCGCAUAUGGGGCACGGGUGGGAGCAGGGGAUCGUCUGAGCUUUCGUGACUGUUUGAGCCGAUGUCGGAGUAGCUAGUGGGCGGGGUAAAGGCCGAGCAAGGCGACGCUCCGUAGCUGGUCUGAGAGGAUGAUAAGACACACUGGAACUGAGACACGGUCCAGACUCCUACGGGAGGCAGCAGUGGGGAAUCUUGCACAAUGGGCGCAAGCCUGACCCAGCCAUGCCGCGUGAGUGAAGAAGGCCUUCGGGUUGUAAAGCCCUUUUGUUGGGAAAGAAAAGCAGCAGGUUUAUCCCCCGCUGUCCUGACGGUACCUAAAGAAUAAGCAACGGCUAACUUCGUG